AACGCACAUUGCGCCCGCCAGUAUUCUGGCGGGCAUGCCUGUCCGAGCGUCAUUUCAACCCUCGAGAACCCCCUUCGCGGGGGGGAUCGGUGUUGGGGAUCGACCGCCCUCAGCGGCGGACGUCCCCUAAAACUAGUGGCGGUCUCGCUGUAGCCUCCUCUGCGCAGUAGCUCUGUAUUCUCGCAGCCUGGAGAGCGGCGCGGCCACGCCGUAAAACCCCAACUUUUUCAAGGUUGACCUCGGAUCAGGUAGGAAUACCCGCUGAACUUAA
rnacentral:misc_RNA from 1 species